rnacentral:rRNA from 1 species
GACGUAGGGCGCGAGCGUUGUCCGGAUUUAUUGGGCGUAAAGAGCUCGUAGGCGGUCUGUUACGUCUGCUGUGAAAACCCGGGGCUUAACCCUGGGCUUGCAGUGGAUACGGGCAGACUAGAGGCAGGUAGGGGAGAAUGGAAUUCCCGGUGUAGCGGUGAAAUGCGCAGAUAUCGGGAGGAACACCGGUGGCGAAGGCGGUUCUCUGGGCCUUACCUGACGCUGAGGAGCGAAAGCGUGGGGAGCGAACAGG